AGGGAAUAUUGGACAAUGGAGGCAACUCUGAUCCAGCCAUCCCGCGUGAAGGAUUAAGGCCCUCUGGGUUGUAAACUUCUUUUCUCUGGGAAUAAAAACUCGUAUUCAUAUGAGCUUGAAGGUACCAGAGGAAUAAGCACCGGCUAACUCCGUGCCAGCAGCCGCGGUAAUACGGAGGGUGCAAGCGUUAUCCGGAUUCACUGGGUUUAAAGGGUGCGUAGGUGGUCUUGUAAGUCAGCGGUGAAAGCCUACAGCUUAACUGUAGAAUUGCCAUUGAUACUGCUUGACUUGAAUCAUGUUGAGGUGGAUGGAAUAUAUCAUGUAGCGGUGAAAUGCUUAGAUAUGAUAUAGAACACCAAUUGCGAAGGCAGUUCACUAAACAUGUAUUGACACUGAGGCACGAAAGCGUGGGGAUCAAAC
rnacentral:rRNA from 1 species